AUUGGACAGUCUACAUAGUCAGGGAACAUCGAAAGAGAAUUUAUCUUAAAUUGAGAAAUAAAUAGAUAAUGGUGAUUUAUUAUGUAUGAAUGACAUAUGUAUGACAUCAGCAUAAUAUUUAAUUACUAAAAUAAUGCUCAUCUUUAAUUUACCAUGCAUGCGUGACGCUCAUUAGUUACUGGUGGCGAUGGAAGACUGCUAUUGCACGACUUGCAUCUACUGAACAUGAUUACAGUGUCCAAAAAAAAAACUUGUAUAGAGCAGCGCUUGAUUUGUAGAAAAAGAUGGUCUACACGUAAUAAGACUCCUGACUCCAU
rnacentral:lncRNA from 1 species